rnacentral:rRNA from 1 species
UACGGGGGGGGCAAGCGUUGUUGCGGAAUUACUGGGCGUAAAGCGCGCGCAGGCGGCUAUCCAAGUCAGUGGUGAAAGCCCGGAGCUCAACUCCAGAACUGCCUUUGAUACUGAAGAUCUUGAGUUCGGGGAGGAGGUGAGUGGAACUGCGAGUGUAGAGGUGAAAUUCGUAGAUAUUCGCAAGAACACCAGUGGCGAAGGCGGCUCACUGGCCCGAUACUGACGCUGAUGCACGAAAGCGUGGGGAGCAAACAGG